GACGAACGCUGGCGGCGUGCCUAAUACAUGCGAGUCGAACGAGAGCGACCGGUGCUUGCACUGGUCAAUCUAGUGGCGAACGGGUGAGUAACACGUGGGUAACCUGCCCAUCAGGGGGGGAUAACAUCCGGAAACGGAUGCUAAAACCGCAUAGGUCUUCGAGCCGCAUGGCUUGAAGAGGAAAAGAGGCGCAAGCUUCUGCUGAUGGAUGGACCCGCGGUGCAUUAGCUAGUUGGUGAGGUAACGGCUCACCAAGGCCGUGAUGCAUAGCCGACCUGAGAGGGUGAUCGGCCACAUUGGGACUGAGACACGGCCCAAACUCCUACGGGAGGCAGCAGUAGGGAAUCUUCCGCAAUGGACGCAAGUCUGACGGAGCAACGCCGCGUGAGUGAAGAAGGUUUUCGGAUCGUAAAACUCUGUUGUUAGAGAAGAACAAGUGCUAGAGUAACUGUUAGCGCCUUGACGGUAUCUAACCAGAAAGCCACGGCUAACUACGUG
rnacentral:rRNA from 1 species